UGGUGUGCAGCCUUAGGGCCAGGACUUCGUAAAGGGGGCCGUAUAUUUAACCUAAUAAACACUCUCCUCUCCAUCACGCCUCCACCUCCGAUUUGCUUCCAUCACGCCUCCUUACGAUCCGAAGCUUCCUUCGCUGAUAUUCACAUACUUCACAUGUUUGGUGCUUGAAGCAAAUUGGUGAUUUGAAUGUGAAAUAUCAAAUGCUUCGUUGUUGGUCAAACGGAUUGACAUCAACAAACAAUUAUAUUUCAUUCAGGUGCUCAAACCACAUCAUUCUAUGUCAAUAAAUCAGCACAUCAAUGGCAUCAUCAUCAUCACAUUCUCCUUCGGCUCUGUCUUUUCUUCUCAAUCAUGGAAUCACAAUGUUUUUCUUAGUUUUAGAAUAGAUCCUCGCAAGACUUUUGUGGAUCAUGUUUACACAACUCUUGUGCAACAAGGGAUCUACACUUAUAAGGAUGAUGAAAUACUAUUGAUCAACCCGUCCCUUAAGAAGUCAAUCAAGAAAUAAGAUAUUGCCAUCAUCGUAUUCUCUAAAAACUAUGCAGAUUCUUCAUGGUGUUUAGUUGAACUUGAGUAUAUUAUGAAAUGCAAAGAUACGAGAGGGAAAGUCGUUAUGCCCAUAUUUUAUGAUGUGGAUCCAUGUGAAGCGCGAAGACAAAAACGGAAAUACGUAGAAGCAUUUGUGAAACAUGAGUUAGAGAACAAAAACAAAGUCGAAUCUUAUAGAAAAGCACUUGUGGAUGCAAGUAAUGUUUCUGGAUGGGAAACAAGUCAAAUCGCUAACAGGUAUGAAUCAAAGGGCAUCAAAGAAACUGUUUACACAAUCUCACAGAGGUUGUAGCUAAUAAAAUCAAGCACAAAUGCUUGUAUGCAAAAUUUGAAAUCAAAGUUACAAAUUGGUUCAAGUGGUGUGCGUAUGAUUGGAAUAUAGGGGGUUGGGGGAGGUGCUAAGACUACUCUUGCAUCUUCUAUUUAUGAUGAGAUCUCUAUCAAGUUUGAUGGUUGCUGCUUUGUUGAAAAUAUUCAAGAGGACUGAAGCACGUUUGGUUUAACAAAAUUACAAGAUAAAAUUAUUUAUGGAAAAGAAUAUAAACAGAGUUGGAGGUGGAAUAUGCGUACUCAUUAAUGUCUUUGUCAUAUAGAAAACAAUGGAGGACUAAAAACAAUCGAGGACCGUAAAUGCUAAAGGGAGCCCACCAUCAUAAAAAACCACAUCUUUUGAAAGCAACUCAUAAUCUUCCAAAAGUCUAAUCCUGGGGUGUUGUGGAAGAGCCUAUCAGCCUUGUUAUCGUUUAACAAGCUAAUGUUGUGUAUAACAUCUACCUUGUGAACAUAUAAUAAAUGUUCAUCUUUAGUUGUGAUUAUUAUUCGGCUUCCUACAACGAACCAAUCAUGUGAGCCAGCUAACGUUUAGGUUUGUCAUAAAAAGGUCGAUUGUUUUUGAUGAUGUGGAUCAUGUUAACCAUUUAAAAACGUUGGUUGGGUCACGUGAUUGGUCCGGUGAAGGAAGUUGAAUAAUAAUCACAAUUAGAUAUGAACAUUAGUUAAAUGCUCACAAGGUAGAUGUUAUAUACAAUAUUAGUUUGUUAAACGAUAAUGAUGCUGUUAUGCUCUUUCGCAAACAUACACCUGAGAAUUAUAGACGUAUGGAAGAUUAUGAACAGCUUUCAAAAGAUGUUUCUUACGCUAGAUUAUGACAGCUUUCAAAAGAUAUUUUUUACAUUGGUGUGCUCCGGUUAGCUCUUACGAUACAAUAAUGAAUGGAGGAGUACGGUAGCCUUUUGUGUAAAAGCUAAGAAUCAACUUUACCUACAAUAAUGAAGGGACGCCAAAGAUGCUUGUGGCUUUCACCUUGAUAUUUCAAACAUUUAUAUAUUAUUAGUAAAAUAUUUUGACCGACAA